rnacentral:rRNA from 1 species
CGGAUUGUAGUCUGCAACUCGACUACAUGAAGCUGGAAUCGCUGUAAUCGCGGAUCAGAAUGCCGCGGUGAAUACGUUCCCGGGUCUUGUACACACCGCCCGUCACACCAUGGGAGUCGGGAAUGCCCGAAGCCAGUGACCCAAGCGAGAGCAGGGAGCUGUCGAAGGCAGGCCGGAUAACUGGGGUGAAGUCGUAACAAGGUAGC